UGGGGAAUAUUGCACAAUGGGGGAAACCCUGAUGCAGCGACGCCGCGUGAGCGAAGAAGUAUUUCGGUAUGUAAAGCUCUAUCAGCAGGGAAGAAAAAAAUGACGGUACCUGACUAAGAAGCCCCGGCUAACUACGUGCCAGCAGCCGCGGUAAUACGUAGGGGGCAAGCGUUAUCCGGAUUUACUGGGUGUAAAGGGAGCGCAGGCGGCAGUGCAAGUCUGAUGUGAAAGCCCGGGGCUUAACCCCGGGACUGCAUUGGAAACUGUAUUGCUUGAGUGUCGGAGGGGUAAGUGGAAUUCCUAGUGUAGCGGUGAAAUGCGUAGAUAUUAGGAGGAACACCAGUGGCGAAGGCGGCUUACUGGACGACAACUGACGCUGAGGCUCGAAAGCGUGGGGAGCAAACAGG
rnacentral:rRNA from 1 species